rnacentral:rRNA from 1 species
UACGUAGGGGGCAAGCGUUGUCCGGAUUUACUGGGCGUAAAGAGCGCGUAGGCGGGGAAGCAAGUCCGGUGUGAAAGCCCCCAGCUCAACUGGGGAAGGUCGCUGGAAACUGCUUUUCUUGAGGGUGACAGAGGGAAGUGGAAUUGCUGGUGUAGCGGUGAAAUGCGUAGAGAUCAGCAGGAACACCCGUGGCGAAGGCGGCUUCCUGGGUCACCACUGACGCUGAGGCGCGAAAGCGUGGGGAGCGAACGGG